rnacentral:rRNA from 1 species
CGCGGCCUAUCAGCUUGUUGGUGAGGUAAUGGCUCACCAAGGCAUCGACGGGUAGCUGGUCUGAGAGGACGAUCAGCCACACUGGGACUGAGACACGGCCCAGACUCCUACGGGAGGCAGCAGUAGGGAAUCUUGCGCAAUGGGGGAAACCCUGACGCAGCAACGCCGCGUGUGGGAUGACGGCUUUCGGGUUGUAAACCACUUUCAGUGAUGACGAAAAUGACGGUAAUCACAGAAGAAGGUCCGGCCAACUACGUGCCAGCAGCCGCGGUAACACGUAGGGACCGAGCGUUGUCCGGAUUUAUUGGGCGUAAAGAGCUCGUAGGCGGUUCUGUAAGUCGGAUGUGAAAACUCAGGGCUCAACCCUGAGACGCCAUCUGAUACUGCUGUGACUUGAGUCCGGUAGAGGAGUGUGGAAUUCCUGGUGUAGCGGUGAAAUGCGCAGAUAUCAGGAGGAACACCAGCGGCGAAGGCGGCACUCUGGGCCGGUACUGACGCUGAGGAGCGAAAGCAUGGGGAGCAAACAGGAUUAGAUACCCUGGUAGUCCAUGCCGUAAACGUUGGGCACUAGGUAUGGGAUCAUAUCAACGGAUUCCGUGCCGUAGCUAACGCAUUAAGUGCCCCGCCUGGGGAGUACGG